UAACUUUCAACAGCGGAUCUCUUGGCUCUCACAUCGAUGAAGAACGCAGCGAAAUGCGAUAAGUAAUGUGAAUUGCAGAAUUCAGUGAAUCAUCGAAUCUUUGAACGCAGAUUGCGCCCUUGGUAUUCCGAAGGGCAUGCCUGUUUGAGUGUCUU
rnacentral:rRNA from 1 species